CACGUAGGUGACAAGCGUUGUCCGGAUUUACUGGGUGUAAAGGGCGCGUAGGCGGGAUAGCAAGUCAGUCGUGAAAUGCCGAGGCUUAACCUCGGAGCUGCGAUUGAAACUGUUAUUCUUGAGUAUCGGAGAGGAAAGCGGAAUUCCUAGUGUAGCGGUGAAAUGCGUAGAUAUUAGGAGGAACACCAGUGGCGAAGGCGGCUUUCUGGACGACAACUGACGCUGAGGCGCGAAAGUGUGGGGAGCAAACAGG
rnacentral:rRNA from 1 species